rnacentral:tRNA from 1 species
AUCCAGGGAUGGGAAUCGAACCCACAGUGUUCCGCUUACCGGACAGAUGCCAUGUCCACUAGGCUACCCUGGA